GACGAACGCUGGCGGCGUGCUUAAUACAUGCAAGUCGAACGAGGUUGAGUCAGUGGCAACACUGAUGACUGCCUAGUGGCGAACGGGUGAGUAACACGUGAGGAACCUGCCCCGAAGACCGGGAUAACCCUCCGAAAGGAGAGCUAAUACCGGAUACCCCACCGAACCGCAUGGCUCGGUGAGGAAAUGGAUUCCGCUUCGGGAGGGUCUCGCGGCCUAUCAGCUUGUUGGUGGGGAACGGCCCACCAAGGCAUCGACGGGUAGCUGGUCUGAGAGGACGAUCAGCCACACUGGGACUGAGACACGGCCCAGACUCCUACGGGAGCAGCAGUAGGGAAUCUUGCGCAAUGGGCGAAAGCCUGACGCAGCAACGCC
rnacentral:rRNA from 1 species